CGAUUAAUUCGUAUAAAAUUCUAAAUAGGAUAAUGAUAAUGACAAUUUCCUAUUUAUAAGUCUUGACCAAAUUACGUGCCAGCAGUCGCGGUAAUACGUAGAAGACUAGUGUUAGUCAUCUUUAUUAGGUUUAAAGGGUACCUAGACGGUAAAUAACACUUGAGUAGAGUACUUAUUUACUAGAGUUUUAUGUGAGAAGGAAGAACUUCUGGAGUAGUGAUAAAAUACGUUGAUACCAGAGGGACUGGUAACGGCGAAGGCAUCCUUCUAUGUAAAAACUGACGUUGAGGGACGAAGGCUUGGGUAGCAAGAAGGAUUAGAUACCCUAGUAGUCCAAGCAGAAAAUGAUGAAUGUCAUAGACUAGAUAAAAAUUUAGUCUAUAAAUGAAAGUGUAAGCAUUCCACCUCAAGAGUACUAUGGCAACAUAUAAACUGAAAUCAUUAGACCGUUUCU
rnacentral:rRNA from 1 species